GCUUCCUGCGCCCAGCUCAGUGGCUCAGGCUGGGGCCCCAGACAAUGCCCAAAGUUUUCCACACUCCUGCUCAAGCUCUCCCCAAGGCAGUUCAACUGAGUGCCAAGUCCAAGAACACUGAAACAGUUCACAGGUAUAUAAAGGCGCUGUUGGCAUCUCCGCCUUUACACGUGAUGGAUCGCCAUCCUGCCACCAUGGACCUCAUGGCUGUGCAUGUUCUACUGAAGGCCUAAGUACAUCUGCACCUGAGAGAGAGCUGGUGAUCAACAAGGUGGCAGCAGGGUGCCAGGGAAUGGUGACCCAAGCUCCAAGGCCAUCAGAGAAUAUGACCUUAGGGACCAGGCGCAGUCCAGAAUGGAGGCAGAGUCUAGGUGGUUAAGAAGAGGAAGAAGGGCUGUGUAUUAUUACUGAAGCUCCAUUGAAAUUGUUUUUGAGGAAAUUCCAACAGUGAAGCAGAAAGAACAGUGAUGUAAUCAUUAAAGUCUUUGAUUGUUAUAGGGAAAUGUUCGCUGAGAAAGAGAAGAAUUCUGUCCGUGAGGGGUGGGCUCCUCCGUAUCUGCUCUGUGGCAGUCAUUGUGCUGAGACUUUACAAGUUCAGUCCUUACUACCUCACCAUAUGAUGUUAGCAUACCUUUCAGAAUCUGAAGCCAGACGCAAUAAUUUGCCCAAAGUUACACAGCCACGAAAUGGAAUGGAAACUGCCAGCCAACUCCAAGGCCCACAUUUCAUCUCCUUUUAUUAAAUAAGAUACAUGAGAUUGUAAUUUUAGGAACUGUACUGAAAUUCUUAUAAGGUAUACUUUUUUUACCAAAACACUGAAGAUAGAUUAUAUGAACCGUGUAAAUUGAUAGUUUAAAUAAAGUACUUUAGACUUGAAUAUAAACUUUUUGAUCAGAAAUGCCAUCUCAUACUGGAGGGCAGGAUGCUCGGGAGAAAUGGAAUUAGCUGCUGCAUUUUAGCUCACAGCAGCAUUAGAAGGAAUAGAACUUUCUGCCCCUCUCAUUUGGUCUUUCUGU